rnacentral:RNase_P_RNA from 1 species
CAGCAGGACGGUCCAGUCGCUGGCCGACGUAUAGAGCGGCGAGAGGAAAGUCCGGGCAACACAGAGCACCAUACUUUCUAACGGAAAGCUGUCGGUGACGGCAGAGUAGCGUGACAGAAAACGACCGCCCGAGGGGCAUUGACCGCCUCGGGUAAGGGUGAAAAGGCGAGGUAAGAGCUCACCGGGUCCCGCAGCAAUGCGGGAUGCCGCACGUCUUAUGGGUUGCAAGGCCAAGUAUACCGGCAUCUAAGGGCUGCUCGUCCGUUGCCGGGGGGUAGGCGGCUGGAGCACGUUGGUGA